UACGUAGGUGGCAAGCGUUGUCCGGAUUUACUGGGCGUAAAGGGCGUGCAGGCGGUUUGUUAAGUGCAGGGUGAAAGCUCCCGGCUCAACUGGGAGAGGUCCUUGCAUACUGGCAAACUCGAGGGAGGCAGAGGAAAGUGGAAUUCCCGGUGUAGUGGUGAUAUGCGUAGAUAUCGGGAGGAACACCUGUGGCGAAGGCGACUACCUGGCCCAUUCUUGACGCUGAGGCGCGAAAGCUAGGGGAGCGAACGGG
rnacentral:rRNA from 1 species